UACCUCUCGAAGGCGAUGAUGAUCGGCUGGUACGCGUCCGUGUACGGCACACCCGCCCUCUCGCACUGCUGCCUCAUGAAACGGCUCAUCCCCGGGGACGCAAAGCUGAAUAUGAUGAGGGUCUCCAUGA
rnacentral:ribozyme from 15 species